rnacentral:misc_RNA from 1 species
UUUCCGUAGGUGAACCUGCGGAAGGAUCAUCAUAGGAAAAAAUUCUUUUUUUUCUAUAGACUUACACCCCUUUGUGCUCCUUGUUCGAGGUCUGUAACAGGGCCUCGUUCAACCUUUUUAAAAAACAACCUUUUAAACAUUUUAAUUUAAAUACACCUGUAUAAAUAACCAAAAGACAACUUUUAACAACGGAUCUCUUGGCUCUC